GAGGCAGCUGCCACUUACCUUUAGCUCCUGGUUGCAUAUCUUUUUAGAGAAGCUGGGCUUUAGGAUGUCUUUGUGAAGUCUCCAGACUUUGAAAAACUGGAAAAAGAUUUGGAAAUCCAGAAUCAAGGACCUCGGCAGUGAAGUGUCAAGCUGGUUCUCUAUUGUACACAUCAAUGUAGCUAUGUUGUUGCUGGUGUAUUUUUUUUUUAUCACAAGUCUGGGCCUCUUGGUAAUAGACUAAACAUGAGCUGCUGCUUGCCGCCUUCCCUCCUUGGAUGUCAUCAGUGUAAUCAGGGAACAGCAUGCCCUACCGAGGUCCUGAGUCACUCGGAAGACACCGAACCACCCUUCUGCAGACAGGCAGGUCUGCCUACACCCUACCAAGGUCCCCAGUCGCGCGGAACACAGGCCGAAUUAGCCCGCUGCAGACAGGCAGGUCUGUGCACGCCCUACCGAGGUCCUGAGUCGUGCAGAAGACACCGAAUCACCCCGCUGCAGACAGGCAGCCACCUGAUUCCACAC